AUCCUUUGGUUCAUAAGCGUGAUGAUUGGGUAUUCAUGCUAUCAUGUGAGAUGUGCCUUCCUCUAAACAUUGUUACCCGCCUGACA
rnacentral:snoRNA from 1 species